UCUGAAGAUGAAGACGAUGACCGGGGAGUCUAUAGCCCGCUUGGAGCUGUAAAUAUUAAACCUCCUGGUUGCGGUUCUCUGAGGUGUCGCCCCGACGAUCGCGUGGCGCACAGCAUGGGAGCUGUCCUUCGCUGACCGCAGGGCUGCUGUUGUGAAACAUGUCACGUAUGAACUCCUGAAAUAUCCCGACGUCAUCUCCGUCCACCUCCUUACUUCCACAGACAUCACUGACUAGAUCUCUGAGAGCAGAGAGAUGAGAAGCUGUCAGAGUUCUCACAGAGUCUCCAGCGCCAGCAGACCUUCUCGUUCUCUGAUCAUUAUUCUCCAUUAUGUUGUCCUGUGGAACCUGAAGUGGGACUGAGUCAUGAGUGUCAGAGAACAUCCUGAGUGUGAGGACACCAUAGCACCAUCUGUGAAGGCUUUGGGACAUGCGUUAGCUGGCCAAGCUGUUGAUUUGUACUCUGAUCACCAGACGGGAUUCAAACCGCACAGACGUCACUGAAUUCCCCUCAAGAAAUCUUCCUCAGUUUAAAGGUCUACCUCAAGUGUUGGCGAAUUGUCUCCAGGUUGACGGAGGGAACUUCCCAUGUGGACAUAGCUCGCUCUAAUGAAAGUACUGAGAGGUUUAAAUCUUUUACAGGUGCUCAUAGGUGUGUGUUGGGGCUGUGCUGCACAUCAGCGAUGCUGCACACACACAGGAUUCAGCUGAAGUAAGAAAUGACUUGACAGUUUGGAGCUGAUGAGAGGAGCAUGUGGAGUUCAGCUCACGACACCUCAAGCUGCACUGAAAUAAAAAUAACAUGAACUGCUAUGAUAUGCCUACAGUUUGAUAAAAAAAAUAAAAAUAAAAAACAGUUUCAUCAUAUUUACUAAGUAAUAAUUAAAUAAAACUACUUAAGACAUUGAUCAUUGUGUUAUAUAAUGUCAACACCAGCUUCAUUUAGUAGUAGCUUUUAGAAACGUAUAAUGCAGAGUGUUAAUCAUUUUUGUGGAUUUGCAAUUUAUAUAAUACUACAAGCUGGUUUAGUGCUUGUCGUGUUUGCUGUCAGCUGCUUAACAGGCCUGCUUUUUGCAGAUUGUCAACUACAGUUUUAAACUAAUGUUACUGUAAUGUGAUACAAAUAAAGUGCAAAUAAAUUAAAGGUUUAAAGUUUUCUAUACAAAAGUUCCAUCAGGUGGUUUGGAAAGGAAAUAAUAGUGCAUGAAGUGAAUAAAUAGAGGAACCCGUUCUAAAGAUUGGGUGCCACAGAGCGAAACGUUUGGUGUUUGGGACCAACGGCACAGCAGAGUUCCAGCAGAUCAGAGAUCCUGAAGAGUUUGACCAUAUUAGGCCCUAAAAGGUUUUCAAAUCAAAUUUAAAAUUGUUUAUCUGAGUCCGUAGCAAUGUGUGAUUUUCUGUUUGGAGAAACAGGAGUGACGUAAAAGUGUCAAGUGAUGCUGUCUGGUUUUUUUAUUUUGUCGAUUCAUUUUUUAGGUCUUCAGCUCUGCCACCUCCGCUUGUCCUUUUCUCAAUAUCUCCUAAUAAUAUUAUUUUCAUUUCCACCAUCAAUA